rnacentral:rRNA from 1 species
CCUACGGGAGGCAGCAGUGGGGGAUAUUGCACAAUGGGGGAAACCCUGAUGCAGCGACGCCGCGUGAGUGAAGAAGUACUUCGGUAUGUAAAGCUCUAUCAGCAGGGAAGAAAAUGAACGUACCUGACCAAGAAGCCAUUGCCAAAUACGUGCCAGCAGCCGCGGUAAUACGCAGGGGGCGAGCGUUAUGCGGUUUUACUGGGUGUAAAGUGAGCGUAGAUGGUUAUGUAAGUCUGGAGUGAAAGCCCGGGGCCCAACCCGGGGACUGCUUUUGAAACUGAGUAACUGGAGUGCGGGAGGGGAAGGUGGAAUUCCAGGUGUAGCGGUGAAAUGCGUAGAUAUCGGGAGGAACACCAGCGGCGAAGGCGGCCAGCUGGA